AUGAUGGAUGCGGGAGAUGCUGCACCAGUUAGCAGAGCCGAAGGGGCGUCGUGGGCAAACUCUCAGGCAAAAGGACUGUAUCCGGACG
rnacentral:ncRNA from 2 species